GCUCAACCCGGCACGAUGGAGAGCGUGCGAGGAGCCGACCGGGUGAACCCAGGACCAUUCGUCUCAAAGUCCGGUGCGGAUACCAGUACAUCAACGACCAGUUUAUGUGUAAAGAUGUUAUUAAUUAAUGAGCUGAAUUUACAUACCCAGCUGCUGUGAAUCUCCGGAGGGAAGGCCCAAAAAUCCUCGGCUUUGCCGCUGGCAGCCAGGGCUGGGGUCGAAGCGUUCGGAUAGAAAUGGUGCUCGGUACUCGGUGUCGG